rnacentral:rRNA from 1 species
GUAGGUGGCGAGCGUUGUCCGGAAUUAUUGGGCGUAAAGCGCGCGCAGGCGGUUCUUUAAGUCUGAUGUGAAAGCCCACGGGCUCAACCGUGGAGGGUCAUUGGAAACUGGAGAACUUGAGUACAGAAGAGGAAAGCGGAAUUCCACGUGUAGCGGUGAAAUGCGUAGAGAUGUGGAGGAACACCAGUGGCGAAGGCGGCUUUCUGGUCUGUAACUGACGCUGAGGCGCGAAAGCGUGGGGAGCAAACAGGAUUAGGUACCCUGGUAGUCCACGCCGUAAACGAUGAGUGCUAAGUGUUAGGGGGUUUCCGCCCCUUAGUGCUGCAGCUAACGCAUUAAGCACUCCGCCUGGGGAGUACGGCCGCAAAGGCUG